rnacentral:tRNA from 1 species
GCUUGUGGCUUAGUGGUAGAGCACUCCCCUAGUGUGGGUGAGGCACUGGGUUCCAUCCUUAGCACCGCA